rnacentral:rRNA from 1 species
AGUGAACGCUGGCGGCAGGCCUAACACAUGCAAGUCGAGCGGCAGCACAGUAAGAGCUUGCUCUUACGGUUGGCGACUGGCGGACGAGUGACGCAUACAUCGCAAACUUCUAUUUCGUGGGGGAUAACGUGGGGAAACUUACGCUAAUGCCGCAUAUUUCCUACGGGUUAAAUCAGAGGAUCUUCGCACCUUUCCCGACUCUAUUAGCCGAAGCCGCAUUAGCUAGUUGGCGUGGUAAAGGCCCACCAAGGCAACGCACCGUAGCUGGUCUGAGAGGAUGAUCAGCCACACUGGAACUGAGACACGGUCCAGACUCCUACGGGAGGCAGCAGUAGGGAAUAUUCGACAAUGGGCGAAAGCCUGAUCCAGCCAUACCGCGUGAGUGAAGAAGGCCUUCGGGUCGUAAAGCUCUGUUGUUAGGGAAGAAAAGCAGCGGAUGUAUACCCCGCUGUUUUGACGGUACCUAAAGAAUAAGCAACGGCUAACUUCGUG